AUGAAAGAAAGGAAGAAAUAACUUAGAAACUCAUGUCCUGAAUGGCUGAGAACAUAUUUCCAUGACACUGCAUGAGGUGGGAGCAAAUUGGAGAAAGGGCAAAGUGCAGUCUCACUAUAUGGAUAACCCAAGAUACUGCAGCAGAAGAAUGUCUCUGCAUCAAUA